AUUGAACGCUGGCGGCAUGCCUUACACAUGCAAGUCGAACGGCAGCAUGGAGAGCUUGCUCUCUGAUGGCGAGUGGCGAACGGGUGAGUAAUGCAUCGGAACGUACCAUGUAAUGGGGGAUAACGUAGCGAAAGUUACGCUAAUACCGCAUACGACCUGAGGGUGAAAGCAGGGGAUCGCAAGACCUUGCGUUAUACGAGCGGCCGAUGUCAGAUUAGAUGGUUGGUGAGGUAAAGGCUCACCAAGGCGACGAUCUGUUGCGGGUAGGAGAGGAUGAUCCGCCAAACUGGGACUGAGACACGGCCCAGACUCCUACAGGAGGCAGCAGUGGGGAAUUUUGGACAAUGGGGGCAACCCUGAUCCAGCCAUGCCGCGUGAGUGAAGAAGGCCUUCGGGUUGUAAAGCUCUUUCGGCCGGGAAGAAAUCGCACAGGCUAAUACUCUGUGUGGAUGACGGUACCGGCAUAAGAAGCACCGGCUAACUACGUGCCAGCCGCCGCGGUAA
rnacentral:rRNA from 1 species